ACGGGUGAGUAACACGUGGGUGAUCUGCCCUGCACUUCGGGAUAAGCUUGGGAAACUGGGUCUAAUACCGGAUAUACCUCAUUGAUCGCAUGGUUGGUGGGGGAAAGCUUUUGCGGUGUGGGAUGGGCCCGCGGCCUAUCAGCUUGUUGGUGGGGUGAUGGCCUACCAAGGCGUCGACGGGUAGCCGGCCUGAGAGGGUGUCCGGCCACACUGGGACUGAGAUACGGCCCAGACUCCUACGGGAGGCAGCAGUGGGGAAUAUUGCACAAUGGGCGCAAGCCUGAUGCAGCGACGCCGCGUGGGGGAUGACGGCCUUCGGGUUGUAAACCUCUUUCAGUAGGGACGAAGCGCAAGUGACGGUACCUACAGAAGAAGCACCGGCCAACUACGUGCCAGCAGCCGCGGUAAUACGUAGGGUGCGAGCGUUGUCCGGAAUUACUGGGCGUAAAGAGCUUGUAGGUGGUUUGUCGCGUUGUUCGUGAAAUCUCACGGCUUAACUGUGAGCGUGCGGGCGAUACGGGCAGACUAGAGUACUGCAGGGGAGACUGGAAUUCCUGGU
rnacentral:rRNA from 1 species